rnacentral:tRNA from 1 species
CAGGUUAAAGCUGAUUUUUUUAGCGUUUUGUUUACACCAAGAGGGUCCUGUGUGAAUCAGGGUAACUUGA